UGAUCCCUUCGGGGUGAUUCUGGUGGAUGAGCGGCGGACGGGUGAGUAACACGUGGGCAACCUGCCUGUAAGACUGGGAUAACUUCGGGAAACCGGAGCUAAUACCGGAUAGUAUUUCCUUUCUCCUGAUUGGAAAUGGAAAGACGGUUUCGGCUGUCACUUACAGAUGGGCCCGCGGUGCAUUAGCUAGUUGGUGGGGUAAUGGCCCACCAAGGCGACGAUGCAUAGCCGACCUGAGAGGGUGAUCGGCCACACUGGGACUGAGACACGGCCCAGACUCCUACGGGAGGCAGCAGUAGGGAAUCUUCCGCAAUGGACGAAAGUCUGACGGAGCAACGCCGCGUGAGCGAUGAAGGCCUUCGGGUCGUAAAGCUCUGUUGUUAGGGAAGAACAAGUACGAGAGUAACUGCUCGUACCUUGACGGUACCUAACCAGAAAGCCCCGGCUAACUACGUGCCAGCAGCCGCGGUAAUACGUAGGGGGCAAGCGUUGUCCGUAAUUAUUGGGCGUAAAGGGCUCGUAGGCGGUUUCUUAAGUCUGAUGUGAAAGCCCACAGCUCAAC
rnacentral:rRNA from 1 species